GCCCGGGUGGUGAAACUGGUAGACACAGUGGACUUAAAAUCCACCGAUGCCGAAACGCGUCGUGCCGGUUCGAGUCCGGCCCUGGGCA
rnacentral:tRNA from 1 species